rnacentral:rRNA from 1 species
UACGUAGGGUGCAAGCGUUGUCCGGAAUUAUUGGGCGUAAAGAGCUCGUAGGCGGUCUGUUACGUCGGCUGUGAAAACCUGGGGCUCAACUCCGGGCCUGCAGCCCGAUACGGGCAGACUAGAGUUGGCAGGGGAGACUGGAAAUUCCUGGUGUAGCGGUGAAAAUGCGCAGAUAUCAGGAGGAACACCGGUGGCGAAGGCGGGGU